AUAGUUCUUCGGGGCAGGGUGCGAUUCCCUACCGGCGGUGAUAGUCCGCGACCCGCUUAUGGCGGCUGAUUUGGUGCAAUUCCAAAACCGACAGUAUAGUCUGGAUGAGAGAAGAAAUUG
rfam:Clostridium hathewayi WAL-18680 genomic scaffold supercont1.1, whole genome shotgun sequence.